rnacentral:rRNA from 1 species
CGGGUGAGUAACGCGUGGGUAACCUGCCUCAUACAGGGGGAUAACAGUUAGAAAUGACUGCUAAUACCGCAUAAGCGCACGGGGAUGCAUAUCUUUGUGUGAAAAACUCCGGUGGUAUGAGAUGGACCCGCGUCUGAUUAGCUAGUUGGUGAGGUAACGGCUCACCAAGGCGACGAUCAGUAGCCGACCUGAGAGGGUGACCGGCCACAUUGGGACUGAGACACGGCCCAAACUCCUACGGGAGGCAGCAG